CUGCCCCAGUCUCCGGGCAGGCCAAGUGCCGAGCCCAGGCUGCCGGGCUGAGUGCCGAGCCCAGGCUGACGGGCCGAGUGCGGCCGCAGCAGCCAGACCUGUCGCUGCAGCGCCACCCUGCGGCCGGGCCCGCCACCACAUCUUCACUCUGCAGCCGGGCUGGGCCCACCGCUGCCACCACGGCCGCUGCCAACCCGCCACGCUGCCGGGCCCGCCAGCCACCGCCUCACAUCCGUGGCCAGGCUGGUUCCGCAGCCAGGCUGGGCCCACUGGCCGCGCCUCGCAUCCGCAGCCGGGCCGCGACCACUGCCUUGCAUCCUCCUGGGUGUGCCAUCGGAAUGUGUCCCGGCAGCUCAGCUGAUUGGCCAGUGCACCCAGGAGAAUUGGCUGGCUGGGCAGAUGCAAGGCAGCGGUGGCAGGCCUGGCCCGGCCCGGCCACUGAUGCAAGGCGGUGGUGGCUGGCGCACCCAGGAGGAGAGGGGAGAAUUGGACAGCGGUGGGCCUGGCGCACCCAGGAGGAGAGGGGAGAAUUGGACAGCGGUGGGCCUGGCGACCCGGCCGAGGCGGUGGGACGAGUUGGAGAAGUGUGUGGCAAUGGACCGAAGUUUGUGCAUGAGGGAUGGCCAGAAAAAGAGUGAGCUGGAAGUUUGAGGAGGUCAGGUUCUUAGGUGUGGUGGUGGAGGAAGAAGUUAUACAAAGGUUAUCUUAAAAGCCACUGAGGAAGAUCAGGAGGAUCGAAACGCAUUUGGCUGGCAUAAAAGAAUUACCUUGAUGACAUAUACUUCAGAAGAAUUUCAACAAUAACUUUUGGCAAGCUCCCAUAUGCACAAGUUAAGUGCACUCAUUUACUUACAUGCUGUAGCAAUGGCUGACAUAAAAGAAUUACCUUAAUGAUAUACUCUCCUGAAGAAGUUCAACAACAACCACAUUGACUUUUGGCAAGCUCAAAUAUGUACAACUGAAGUGUGUUUGUUUACCUAUAUGUUAUAGUAAUGAUAGUAUAAUUAUUUUAUUUGAUUACCAUUUUUAUU